AUUGAACGCUGGCGGCAGGCCUAACACAUGCAAGUCGAGCGGAUGAACGGAGCUUGCUCCUGGAUUCAGCGGCGGACGGGUGAGUAAUGCCUAGGAAUCUGCCUGGUAGUGGGGGAUAACGUCCGGAAACGGGCGCUAAUACCGCAUACGUCCUGAGGGAGAAAGUGGGGGAUCUUCGGACCUCACGCUAUCAGAUGAGCCUAGGUCGGAUUAGCUAGUUGGUGGGGUAAAGGCCUACCAAGGCGACGAUCCGUAACUGGUCUGAGAGGAUGAUCAGUCACACUGGAACUGAGACACGGUCCAGACUCCUACGGGAGGCAGCAGUGGGGAAUAUUGGACAAUGGGCGAAAGCCUGAUCCAGCCAUGCCGCGUGUGUGAAGAAGGUCUUCGGAUUGUAAAGCACUUUAAGUUGGGAGGAAGGGCAGUAAGUUAAUACCUUGCUGGGUUGACGGUACCAACAGAAUAAGCACCGGCUAACUUCGUG
rnacentral:rRNA from 1 species